GAUGAAGAACGUAGCGAAAUGCGAUAAGUAGUGUGAAUUGCAGAAUUCAGUGAAUCAUCGAAUCUUUGAACGCACAUUGCGCCUCUUGGUAUUCCAUGGGGCAUGCCUGUUCGAGCGUCAUUUGUACCUUCAAGCUCUGCUUGGUGUUGGGUGUUUGUCUCGCCUCUGCGUGUAGACUCGCCUCAAAACAAUUGGCAGCCGGCGUAUUGAUUUCGGAGCGCAGUACAUCUCGCGCUUUGCACUCAUAACGACGACGUCCAAAAGUACAUUUUUACACUCUUGACCUCGGAUCAGGUAGGGAUACCCGCUGAACUUAAGCAUAUCAAUAAGCGGAGGA
rnacentral:misc_RNA from 1 species